UGCGUAGGGUGCAAGCGUUAAUCGGAAUUACUGGGCGUAAAGCGUGCGCAGGCGGUGAUGUAAGACAGGUGUGAAAUCCCCGGGCUUAACCUGGGAACUGCAUUUGUGACUGCAUCGCUGGAGUGCGGCAGAGGGGGAUGGAAUUCCGCGUGUAGCAGUGAAAUGCGUAGAUAUGCGGAGGAACACCGAUGGCGAAGGCAGCCCCCUGGGUCAAGAUUGACGCUCAUGCACGAAAGCGUGGGGAGCAAACAGG
rnacentral:rRNA from 1 species